UAGGGAAUAUUCCACAAUGAGCGAAAGCUUGAUGGAGCGACACAGCGUGCAGGAUGACGGCCUUCGGGUUGUAAACUGCUGUUGCAAGGGAUGAAUAGCUAGUGUAGGAAAUGACAUUAGUCUGACAGUACCUUGUUAGAAAGCACCGGCAAACUAUGUGCCAGCAGCCGCGGUAAUACAUAGGGUGCAAGCAUUAUCCGGAUUUAUUGGGCGUAAAGCGUUUGUAGGUGGUUUAUUAAGUCCGAAGUUAAAUUCUAAGGCUCAACUUUAGCAUGCUUUGGAUACUGAUGAACUAGAAUCAUAGAGAGGUCAAUGGAACUCCAUGUGGAGCGGUGGAAUGCGUAGAUAUAUGGAAGAACACCAAUGGCGAAGGCAAUUGACUGGAUAUGUAUUGACACUCAGAGACGAAAGCGUGGGGAGCAAACAGG
rnacentral:rRNA from 1 species